AUGAACGCUGGCGGCGUGCCUAAUACAUUCCAGUCGAGCGAACAGACGAGGAGCUUGCUCCUCUGACGUUAGCGGCGGACGGGUGAGUAACACGUGGAUAACCUACCUAUAAGACAGGGAUAACUUCGGGAAACCGGAGCUAAUCCCGGAUAAUAUAUUGAACCGCAUGGUUCAAUAGUGAAAGACGGUUUUGCUGUCACUUAUAGAUGGAUCCGCGCCGCAUUAGCUAGUUGGUAAGGUAACGGCUUACCAAGGCAACGAUGCGUAGCCGACCUGAGAGGGUGAUCGGCCACACUGGAACUGAGACACGGUCCAGACUCCUACGGGAGGCAGCAGUAGGGAAUCUUCCGCAAUGGGCGAAAGCCUGACGGAGCAACGCCGCGUGAGUGAUGAAGGUCUUCGGAUCGUAAAACUCUGUUAUUAGGGAAGAACAAAUGUGUAAGUAACUAUGCACGUCUUGACGGUACCUAAUCAGAAAGCCACGGCUAACUACGUG
rnacentral:rRNA from 1 species